rnacentral:rRNA from 1 species
UACGUAGGUGGCAAGCGUUAUCCGGAAUUAUUGGGCGUAAAGCGCACGCAGGUGGCUGCUUAAGUCUGACGUGAAAGCUCCUGGCUUAACUGGGAGAGGUCGUUGGGUACUGGGCAGCUUGAGGCAAGGAGAGGGGCGUAGAAUUCCCGGUGUAGUGGUGGAAUGCGUAGAUAUCGGGAGGAAUACCAGAGGCGCAAGCGGCGCCCUGGCCUUGGCCUGACGCUCAGGUGCGAAAGCGUGGGGAGCGAACGGG